AAUAGCUUUUGUAUCUGUAAAGGAGGUAGCAUAUUGCUCAAAGUGCGUAUUGCAUUAUCUUUUUUUUUAUUUGCGUACUGGAUUCCACACAAUGUCAAGUUACAUUCAGGGAUUCUGCAUCUUCCAGAUUGUUUUCUAAGCUACAUGUUGACAUCUGCAGCUUCAACAUGAAAAGCCCAUCUACAAGUUGGUUCUUCUGGCAUAGCAGAGGUUUCUGCAAGAAGAAUAGAGCAUGUGGAUGACAGAACUCACUGGCUGCUGGAUCAGUGCAGAGCAGAAACCUGAACCAAUCAUGGGCAGAGAUGAAUGCAUGGAACAGCUCACUAAAGAAUACCCAAAUCGAGGCCCCCUAAAACAAAACAUUUUGCAGCAGUUCCUUUGGAAAGUGAUUGAAAGAGUGGACAUUGUUUACACAGCUGAUAGUCUAUAAAUCCAGGGAUUCUGAAAGACUGCUGUAGUGAACUGUAUUUCUACAAGUGCAUGGGGAAGAUGUUUCAUUAUAGGAUUAAGAAUCUAUGCAGUUUCAAACUGACAUUUAUAUAACUAUUCCAUCCUCCUCUCUGAAGAUUUGAAUCCUAACCAGUGAAGUUUGAGACUAUAGAAUGGUAUGAAAGAAAAUUAUUUGGCUGCUGAGAAACCAUGCUUUUCAGUAGGUUGCAGUGAAGGGAUCUCCUAGAGAAAAUAUUUGGAUACAAAAGAAAGUCUUUAUUUAGACUGUGACUGUCUUUUUUAGGUUCAAUUUGUGGUCUUUCAGGCCUUGUCAAUAACUGUGCAAGGAUGGAGAAUGAAUCUGAACACAUUUGUAUUUCAUUUGAGCAGGUAGAAAGUUCUGCGCUAGAGCCUUGGACUUACCUCAUAUAGCAGAAGAUUACUGUGGGAGAACUGUGCAAAAUGUUCAAGUCUGAGAUGCGGAAGUAUCUCAGUCCAACUCCUUGCUGUCUCCAUGGGAUAGAACAUCAUGGAUGGUGGGACUGUGAACUUGCUACAUAGAGCAUUUGGGCUGCCAGGAAAUGCUGCCACAAGAGCUGAUGUCCUCUUAUUCCACAUGUUGUCUAUGGAGAUGCUGUAAGAUUACCAGGCAUCUUCACAGCCAGAAGAGUAGACCAUUUUGUUCCACACCAUGGUACAUAUUAAUCUCAAGGUAGGAUGGCACUAAAAGUCCUGUGAUGAACUAACCAUCUGGGGCUUUCAAAAAUCCAGUCCUUGGCAGAGCUGACCUUGGUCUGCAUGCAGGUAUGGUAUGCUAGAUGCUUAGCACCAAGCUAAUCAUUGCAGGCAGCAUUGUAGAGCAGAGAGAACCAAAAAAAUGUCAUUCAGAUAAAGCAAAACAAAUUUGUGCUAAAUAAUUAAG